AAGAUAUUAUAUGCAUUAAAUGGGAGCAUGGCUUGAUUUUACUUUACUAAGUUGCUGAAACUAUAAGAGGUGCCAAUAUUGGUAAAUUUGAUAUUAUUCAAUCUUAGUUUGAUGACUCUGAUAACUGUGAUAAGAAAGCUCAGGAUUGGGAAACGAAGCGGUCAUAUACCCCUGCCGGGACUCCGACUUCCCAGCAAGUUUUGGAAAAUGGGAUUGAAAACAGAGCACCGGAAAAUGAAGACUUCAUUUCAUAUCUGGUGAGACCCAGCCAGAGUCUGAGAAAGAGACUCCUACAAAAAGUGAAGAAUGUGGAGACGUUUCAUCACAGGAAGGAACUCUAGGCUAUUGUCGUUCUAGUUCAGUUAAUAUGAAGAAAAUGCAGCAGAGGAGAACGUGAGAAGCAUAAGAACAUUUCCUAUUUCUAUAGGUGUAAAAUGAAUCUUAGAGGUUUUUUGUCCAUGUAUCAUUUAUUUAUAUCUUAGUUAAGUCUUUUAAUUGUCUGC